rnacentral:rRNA from 1 species
AUUGAACGCUGGCGGCAUGCUUUACAAAUGCAAGUCGAACGGAAAAAGCCCUCCGGUUGCUGAGGAGUGCCGAACGGGCGGGUAAUGAACCGGAACGUGCCCAGGGGUGGGGGAUACCGAAGCGAAAGCUGUCUUAUACCGGAAUGUGAUCUGAGGAUGAAAGGGGGGGACAAAGCGGCAAGUUUUGCCCUGGCGCCUCUGAACCGGCGGAUGCCAGAUUAGGUGGUUGGUGGGUUAAAGGCCUACCAAGCGGACGAUCUGUAGAUGGUCUGGGGGGCCGACCAGCCACACUAGGACUGGAACACGGCCCAGACUCCUACGAGAGGCAGCAGUGGGGAAUUUUGGACAAUGGGCGCAAACCUGAUCCAGCAAUGCCGCGUGCGGGAAGAAGGCCUUCGGGUUGUAAACCGCUUUUGUACGGAACGAAAAGGCUCUGGCUAAUACCUGGGGCUGAUGACGGUACCAUAAAAAUAAGCACCGGCUAACUACGUG